rnacentral:rRNA from 1 species
UACGUAGGAGGCGAGCGUUGUCCGGAAUUACUGGGCGUAAAGCGCGCGUAGGCGGCGCGACGCGACCGGUGUGAAAGCCCCCGGCUCAACUGGGGAGGGUCAUCGGUAACGGUCGUGCUGUGAGUGCAGGAGAGGGAAGUGGAAUUCCCGGUGUAGUGGUGAAAUGCGUAGAUAUCGGGAGGAACACCAGUGGCGAAGGCGACUUCCUGGCCUGUUCUUGACGCUGAGGCGCGAAAGCUAGGGGAGCAAACGGG